rnacentral:rRNA from 1 species
GAUGAACGCCGGCGGCGUGCCUAAUACAUGCAAGUCGAGCGAACGGACGAGAAGCUUGCUUUUCUGAUGUUAGCGGCGGACGGGUGAGUAACACGUGGAUAACCUACCUAUAAGACUGGGAUAACUUCGGGAAACCGGAGCUAAUACCGGAUAAUAUUUUGAACCGCAUGGUUCAAAAGUGAAAGACGGUCUUGCUGUCACUUAUAGAUGGAUCCGCGCUGCAUUAGCUAGUUGGUAAGGUAACGGCUUACCAAGGCAACGAUGCAUAGCCGACCUGAGAGGGUGAUCGGCCACACUGGAACUGAGACACGGUCCAGACUCCUACGGGAGGCAGCAGUAGGGAAUCUUCCGCAAAGGGCGAAAGCCUGACGGAGCAACGCCGCGUGAGUGAUGAAGGUCUUCGGAUCGUAAAACUCUGUUAUUAGGGAAGAACAUAUGUGUAAGUAACUGUGCACAUCUUGACGGUACCUAAUCAGAAAGCCACGGCUAACUACGUG